GACGAACGCUGGCGGCGUGCCUAACACAUGCAAGUCGAGCGGGGAGGAGAAAGCUUGCUUUCGAAUCCUAGCGGCGGACGGGUGAGUAACGCGUGAGCAACCUGCCUCAAACAGGGGGAUAACGCAUCGAAAGAUGUGCUAAUACCGCGUAAGACCACAGCACCGCAUGGUGCAGGGGUCAAAGGAGCAAUCCGGUUUGAGAUGGGCUCGCGUCCGAUUAGCUAGUUGGUGACGAUAACAGCCCACCAAGGCAACGAUCGGUAGCCGACCUGAGAGGGUGAUCGGCCACAUUGGAACUGAGAAACGGUCCAGACUCCUACGGGAGGCAGCAGUGGGGAAUAUUGGGCAAUGGGCGAAAGCCUGACCCAGCAACGCCGCGUGAGGGAAGAAGGGUUUCGGCUCGUAAACCUCUGUCCUAUGGGACGAAGAAGUGACGGUACCUGGAGAAAAAGCAACGGCUAACUACGUG
rnacentral:rRNA from 1 species